GAGCGGCGAACGGGUGAGUAAUACAUCGGAACGUAUCCCGUAGUGGGGGAUAACCCGGCGAAAGCCGGGCUAAUACCGCAUAUGCUUACGGAGGAAAGUGGGGGACCUGCGAGGGCCUCACGCUAUGGGAGCGGCCGAUGUCCGAUUAGCUAGUUGGUGGGGUAAAGGCCUACCAAGGCGACGAUCGGUAGCUGGUCUGAGAGGAUGAUCAGCCACACUGGGACUGAGACACGGCCCAGACUCCUACGGGAGGCAGCAGUGGGGAAUUUUGGACAAUGGGGGCAACCCUGAUCCAGCCAUGCCGCGUGCGGGAAGAAGGCCUUCGGGUUGUAAACCGCUUUUAGUCGGGAAGAAAGGGUUCUCCUGAAUAGGGAGGAUUCAUGACGGUACCGGCGGAAUAAGCACCGGCUAACUACGUGCCAGCAGCCGCGGUAAUACGUAGGGUGCGAGCGUUAAUCGGAAUUACUGGGCGUAAAGCGUGCGCAGGCGGUUCUCCAAGUCCGUUGUGAAAGCCCCGGGCUCAACCUGGGAAUGGCAGUGGAAACUAGGGGACUGGAAUCUGGCAGAGGGGGGUGGAAUGCCGCGUGUAGCAGUGAAAUGCGUAGAGAUGCGGCGGAACACCGAUGGCGAAGGCAGCCCCCUGGGCUGAGAU
rnacentral:rRNA from 1 species